rnacentral:rRNA from 1 species
CAGGGGAGCUUGCUCUCGCUGACGACCGGCGGACGGGUGCGUAACGCGUAUACAAUCUACCUUAUAGAGGGGAAUAGCCCAGAGAAAUUUGGAUUAAUGUCCCAUGGUAUUAUCGGAUAGCAUUAUCUGAUAAUUAAACAUUUAUGGCUAUAAGAUGAGUAUGCGUUCUAUUAGCUUGAUGGUAAGGUAACAGCUUACCAUGGCUACGAUAGAUAGGGGUCCUGAGAGGGAGAUCCCCCACACUGGUACUGAGACACGGACCAGACUCCUACGGGAGGCAGCAGUGAGGAAUAUUGGACAAUGGGAGCAAUCCUGAUCCAGCCAUGCCGCGUGCAGGAAGACUGCCCUAUGGGUUGUAAACUGCUUUUAUACAGGAAGAAAAAGGUGUACGUGUACACUGUUGACGGUACUGUAAGAAUAAGGAUCGGCUAACUCCGUGCCAGCAGCCGCGGUAAUACGGAGGAUCCAAGCGUUAUCCGGAAUCAUUGGGUUUAAAGGGUCCGUAGGCGGGAUAAUAAGUCAGUGGCGAAAGUCUGCAGCUCAACUGUAGAAUUGCCAUUGAUACUGUUGUUCUUGAGUGCUUGUGAAGUGGUUAGAAUGAGUAGUGUAGCGGUGAAAUGCAUAGAUAUUACUCAGAAUACCGAUUGCGAAGGCAGAUCACUAACAAUUCACUGACGCUGAUGGACGAAAGCGUAGGUAGCGAACAGGAUUAGAUACCCUGGUAGUCUACGCCGUAAACGAUGGUUACUAGCUGUUCGGACUAAUUGCGGUCUGAGUGGCUAAGCGAAAGUGAUAAGUAACCCACCUGGGGAGUACGUUCGCAAGAAUGAAACUCAAAGGAAUUGACGGGGGCCCGCACAAGCGGUGGAGCAUGUGGUUUAAUUCGAUGAUACGCGAGGAACCUUACCAGGGCUUAAAUGCAGUUUGACAGGGGUGGAAACACCUUUUCCUUCGGGCAAAUUGCAAGGUGCUGCAUGGUUGUCGUCAGCUCGUGCCGUGAGGUGUCAGGUUAAGUCCUAUAACGAGCGCAACCCCUUUGGUUAGUUACCAGCAUGUAAUGAUGGGGACUCUAGCCAUACUGCCAGUGUAAACUGUGAGGAAGGUGGGGAUGACGUCAAAUCAUCACGGCCCUUACGUCCUGGGCUACACACGUGCUACAAUGGUAGGGACAGAGAGCAGCCACACCGCGAGGUGGAGCGAAUCUACAAACCCUAUCACAGUU